GGGUUGUGAGGUUAAGCGACUAAGCGUACACGGUGGAUGCCCUGGCAGUCAGAGGCGAUGAAGGGCGUGCUAAUCUGCGAUAAGCGCCGGUAAGGUGAUAUGAACCGUUAUAACCGGCGAUACCCGAAUGGGGAAACCCAGUGUGACUCGUCACACUAUCAUUAACUGAAUCCAUAGGUUAAUGAGGCGAACCGGGGGAACUGAAACAUCUAAGUACCCCGAGGAAAAGAAAUCAACCGAGAUUCCCCCAGUAGCGGCGAGCGAACGGGGAGGAGCCCAGAGCCUGAAUCAGCAUGUGUGUUAGUGGAAGCGUCUGGAAAGGCGCGCGAUACAGGGUGACAGCCCCGUACACAAAAGCGCAUGUGCUGUGAGCUCGAUGAGUAGGGCGGGACACGUGGUAUCCUGUCUGAAUAUGGGGGGACCAUCCUCCAAGGCUAAAUACUCCUGACUGACCGAUAGUGAACCAGUACCGUGAGGGAAAGGCGAAAAGAACCCCGGCGAGGGGAGUGAAAAAGAACCUGAAACCGUGUACGUACAAGCAGUGGGAGCACAGGUUUACCUGUGUGACUGCGUACCUUUUGUAUAAUGGGUCAGCGACUUAUAUUCUGUAGCAAGGUUAACCG
rnacentral:rRNA from 9 species